UGUUCUUUUCUUCAACCAAAA
rnacentral:piRNA from 1 species